ensembl:snRNA U4 U4 spliceosomal RNA
GAAUUGAUGCAGUGUCAGUAUCAUAGCUAAUGAGGUUUGCCCGAGGCUCAAUUAUUGCUAAUUGAAAACUUUUCCCAAUAGCCCACCUUGACGACUUGCAAUAUAGUUGCCACUGGCAAUAUUUAGCAGUCUCUAAUAAAAGA